rnacentral:lncRNA from 1 species
CAAUUUAUUCAAACAAAUUAUGUUUGGAAGGUUAUUUGCCAACAAAAAGUUAGCAAAAUCUGCUUUUAAAAAUAAAAUUUGGUCAAGUUCCAAACUGUUUUCACACACUACUUUUACCAGUUACAGGUGCAGUAUCUUCUGUACUCUUACCUUCUUACUCCUUCCAAUUAGCUUUUCAUGUUCCCUUAGUCAUUUGAAGUAUUAAUGCAUAUGAUAAUGAAGGUGGAUGGAAGGCAAUGCACUUGAUUUACCCUUUCCUGACUCCUCCUUUGAUGCUGUUACUAUUGGCUAUGGAUUACGAAAUGUGAUCGAUAGACAUAAAGCUAUGACAGAGAUAUGUCGAGUCUUAAAACCAGGCUCAACAGUAUCUGUUCUUGACUUCAAUAAAAGCAUCAACCCCGCAUAAAGCUAUGAUAGAGAUAUGUCGAGUCUUAAAACCAGGCUCAACAGUAUCUAUUCUUGACUUCAAUAAAAGCAUCAAUCCCUUGAGCACCGCAAUUCAGGUAUUUGUUGGCAGGUUACAUUCUUUUCGCAUCACCCCAAAACUUUUUAUUUUAUUAUUUUUUCUUAAUCACCCAAAAAUCUGUAAAGUAAGUUAUUGGUUUCAUUAUCUUUUGCUUUAUCUGAUGUAAAACUUUCUAUGCUUUUAAGGGAUCAUUGCAGUUCCAUCUGAACAUUUGAAAUAGUGAUGGACAUUAACCAUCUCUGAAACACUUGUUUGUAAAUUAGGAAAUUCGAUGGGACUUCCUUUGCUUUUUAAGGAUGUAGUCAGUGCAUAUCAUUUUCGCCCUUGUACAGAGCAUAUUGUUACUUAGCAAAAAGAUUGACAACAAUGGAAACAAAGUAGACUCUUGAAGCUUAUCCUGUUCUUUUAGGGUGCAGGAAAAGCGGGAGCAGGGAAUGGGAAGGGAAAGAGGUAGGUGAAGGAGAAGGGGGAAUUUGCUUUAUGAGAAUUCUGAAGGAUAUAGAAGGGAAAUAGAGAUCAACCGUCAUAAGUUGGACAAUUUUAAGUGGAUAUUUUCUGUAGGUAUAUAGCUCAAGAUAUUACCCCACAUAAUGUUUCAGUAAAGUUGCUAUACACUGAAACUGCAUCCAUGUACAUUUUCCACUAGUUUUUCUGUAAAGGUGGGACCUAUAUUUUGUCACAUGACAUAAAGCAAGCCACUCCCUAUCCAUUAGAUGCCGGGGAUUAAUCUGUUAUUGUGCAUUAUUGGUAAUUCCGUUAUCUCUUUUACAGAUUGUUAUGUUUGCAAACUUCUUAGUGUUUUCUUUUCCCGCUUCUCAUGAGUAGUAAUAUUUAUCUAAUUUUUGUGUUCUAUUUAGGAGU